rnacentral:lncRNA from 1 species
UAUGGAUAUCUACACAAGACUUUGAUCUGAUCAGAAGUCUUUGAUCUCACCAGAGUGCUAGCUCCCUUACAGAGAUUGCAUCUUGAUGGUUGAAUAAGACUCUUCUUUUCUCUCAAAAAACUCUUAGAGAAGAAGAAGAGUAGGAGGAUGGAGAUCUCUAACUAGAGAUCAUGAGGAGAAUACUUUUUCCUAUUUCUUCCAUGCA